UUUCCGUAGGUGAACCUGCGGAAGGAUCAUUCAUAAUAAAGUGUUUUAUGGCACUUUUUAAAAAUCCAUAUCCACCUUAUGUGCAAUGUUAGAUCUCGUCAAUCUUGGCGAGAUUUUUAUACAUCAACUCAUUCUUUAACUAAUUUGUCUGAAAAAUAUUAUGAAUACUUAAUUCAAAAUACAACUUUCAACAACGGAUCUCUUGGCUCUC
rnacentral:misc_RNA from 1 species